AGGUCCCACCUGCCCAGUGCAAAAACGGCCGCGGUAUUUUGACCGUGCAAAGGUAGCGCAAUCACUUGUCUUUUAAAUGAAGACCUGUAUGAAUGGUUAAACGAGGGCUUAACUGUCUCCCCUUUCCAGUCAAUGAAAUUGAUCUACCCGUGCAGAAGCGGGUAUUAAUAUACAAGACGAGAAGACCCUUUGGAGCUUAAGACAAUAUAUCACCUAUGUCAAGCAUUUUGAAACUAAAUAAUAUCUGAUUACAGUCUUCGGUUGGGGCGACCGCGGAAUAAAAUAAAACUCCCACAAGGAUUGAAGACCCUUCAAAACCAAGAAAGACAUUUCUAAGUCACAGAAAUUCUGACCAUAAAGAUCCGGUCUACCGAUCAACGAACCAAGUUACCCCAGGGAUAACAGCGCAAUCCUCUUUCAGAGUUCUUAUCGACAAGGGGGUUUACGACCUCGAUGUUGGAUCAGGAC
rnacentral:rRNA from 1 species